rnacentral:rRNA from 1 species
AGUGAACGCUGGCGGCGUGCCUAACACAUGCAAGUCGAGCGGCUCCGAGGGGCAACCCUCGGGGUAGCGGCGAACGGGUGAGUAACACGUGGGUAAUCUCCCCUCGAGUGAGGAAUAAGCCCUCGAAAGGGGGUCUAAUACCGCAUGACACUCCGGGAUGUAUGUCUUCGGAGUCAAAGCCGAAAGGCGCUUGAGGAUGAGCCUGCGUCCUAUUAGCUAGUUGGUAGGGUAAUGGCCUACCAAGGUUAUGAUGGGUAGCCGGCCUGAGAGGGUGUACGGCCACACUGGGACUGAGACACGGCCCAGACUCCUACGGGAGGCUG